rnacentral:lncRNA from 1 species
AUUAGAGGCAGGAACUAGGGUACAAGGAGAUAGAGGAGGAAGAGGACAACAAAGAAAAAUGGAGAGAUUUUGGUGGGAAAUCUAGACCAGGUCCAUAUUCAUUUCAGAAAUCCAACCAAGAGACAAGUUUAUCUUCUGUCUCGUAUUUUAUUCAUUAUUUUCUCUGACUUGUAAUGUAUUUUUCUAACUCUUCCCCUUUUUAUCAUUUUUAUGCAAUGAGAUAAGUUCUUUAUGUUGAGAUGAUUGAUGUAGCUUAACCUACCAUGAUUAAUUUUAAUAUUUG